rnacentral:rRNA from 1 species
GACGAACGCUGGCGGCGCGCCUAACACAUGCAAGUCGAACGAGCGAGAGAGAGCUUGCUUUCUCGAGCGAGUGGCGAACGGGUGAGUAACGCGUGAGGAACCUGCCUCAAAGAGGGGGACAACAGUUGGAAACGACUGCUAAUACCGCAUAAGCCCACGACCCGGCAUCGGGUAGAGGGAAAAGGAGCAAUCCGCUUUGAGAUGGCCUCGCGUCCGAUUAGCUAGUUGGUGAGGUAACGGCCCACCAAGGCGACGAUCGGUAGCCGGACUGAGAGGUUGAACGGCCACAUUGGGACUGAGACACGGCCCAGACUCCUACGGGAGGCAGCAGUGGGGAAUAUUGCACAAUGGGGGAAACCCUGAUGCAGCGACGCCGCGUGGAGGAAGAAGGUCUUCGGAUUGUAAACUCCUGUUGCUGAGGAAGAUAAUGACGGUACU